CCUUCCAGUCAUUUACUUCUGAAUCCCCUUAAGGGAGUGUUGGAGGUGCAGGGUUUCACUGGGAAAAGCAAUAUGCCACUAGACUGGAUGCUGCUGCUUUAAACUGGCAUUGAUUCCAGUUCCUUUGAUUUGGAGAAUGACACCCCACCCCCACCUCAUCCCACCUUCCUCUUCACAACUUCAGAAACCUGGAGUUCUGCCAAAGCCAGAGAUGGAAAUGGGUCUGUGAUGGACAGGACCGAGGUUAGUGGAACAGUCUGGGCUGCCUCCUGAUGACCCCUCCCAGCCACGCGCCUCCUCCUUACCUGGCUCCUUCGGCGUAGUCUUCGCCGCGGCGGGCCGUCCAGGGCGUUGGCGGGUGAAGUUGGGGCCACCGCGCGGCGGGGGCUCCGCACACGGAGGACGGCCCACGGAUCGGCGAUAUCGGCCUAGGCGGGCAUUCAGGAUUAGGCUUAAGGAUCGCCCAAAGCGGCUGGCACCAGAUGCAGAUGUGCUACCCGUCCGCCGGCUCCCUAACAAUCAACAAACCAAAUGGUUUUUGCUCUUUGCCAAAACAGAGAUUCGAACCAGCACCAGCAAAAGGAUCUAGGAGAAAAGCAAUUUAGCCACAGCUCAAGCUGGCAAAGUGCUCCCAACCUAGGCGAAUGGGAAAAGAUCGUGGAGUCAAGGUAACAAGCAAUUAUCAAGUGCCUCCGGUAUACCAAGUACUGGGGAUAGGAAGAAAGGCAAAAGAUAGGCCAUGACUUCAAGGAGCUCCCAGUUUAAUGCGGAGAAAAUAUGUAAAUAACUAUGUCAAGCCAAUAUAUAGACGAGAAUUUAGAGAUAGUCACUGAGAGAAGGCACUGGCAGUAAUGGAAAUGGAG
rnacentral:lncRNA from 1 species